CACGUAGGGGCGAGCGUUGUCCGGAAUUACUGGGCGUAAAGGGCGCGCAGGCUGUUAUGCGAGUCUGCUGUGAAAAUCCGGGGCUCAACCCCGGACUUGCAGUGGGUACGGGCAGACUAGAGUGUGGUAGGGGAGACUGGAAUUCCUGGUGUAGCGGUGAAAUGCGCAGAUAUCAGGAGGAACACCGAUGGCGAAGGCAGGUCUCUGGGACACUACUGACGCUGAGAAGCGAAAGCAUGGGGAGCGAACAGGAUUAGA
rnacentral:rRNA from 1 species